AUGCUAGACGAGUUUGAUCAUGGCUCAGAAUCAACGCUGGCGGCGUGCCUCAGACAUGCAAGUCGAACGAUUAAAGCUCUCUUCGGAGAGUGUAUAGAGUGGCGCACGGGUGAGUAACACGUAAGUAAUCUACCCUCGAGUGGGGAAUAACAACCGGAAACGGUUGCUAAUACCGCAUAAUGCAGCGGCACCGCAAGGUGACAGUUGUUAAAGAUUUAUCGCUUGAGGAGGAGCUUGCGGCAGAUUAGCUAGUUGGUAGGGUAACGGCUUACCAAGGCUACGAUCUGUAACCGGUCUAAGAGGACGGUCGGUCACACUGACACUGAAUAACGGGUCAGACUCCUACGGGAGGCAGCAGUCGGGAAUUUUGGGCAAUGGGCGAAAGCCUGACCCAGCAACGCCGCGUGAAGGAUGAAGUAUUUCGGUAUGUAAACUUCGAAAGAAUAGGAAGAAUUAAUGACGGUACUAUUUAUAAGGUCCGGCUAACUACGUG
rnacentral:rRNA from 1 species